CUCAAACUCCACUCGUGGACCGCUCGUUCUCAGAAGCUUCCAAAUUAUGGAUACUGUGCUUUUCGUGCGCGCCUGAUCCUGGACGUGAUGUAGAAGGGAUGCCUCGCGCCACGCAGGGAUGUAAGGGAUACAGCGCGAGGAACUUCUCUCGUUAACAUCCUCGGAUUCUGCAGUUUUUUACAUUUUUAUUUUUAAAUCAUUUUUCCAAGAUUUUUUUACAUUUUUUUUUAAAAUAAGGAUACUGGUCGGACCUUUUGGAGGCAACCGCUUGGAUUCGCGCGUAAAGGGCGCAAGAGAAAUGAUCCCGAACGGAUCGAAAGACGUGAGAUGUGUCCCAUUUUCGCCACUGCGCUCUAAAGCCCGCGGGAAGGACAUGGUUUUACGACCUGGAAUGUGAAAAUUCAACAAUAGCUGACUCUUACAACCAGUCAAUUGGACAUCACCUGGUAUCACAGAAGAGUGGCUUGGUGGAGGGAAGCGUGCCGUAAAGGAAGCACUACAUUUGGGCAUCUGCCA